rnacentral:tRNA from 1 species
GGAAUUGUGCCACUGUUCAGUGGUAGAGCAUCUGCUUGGUAUGCAGAAGGUCACAGGCUCAAUCCCAGGCAUCUCCA